UACGUAGGGUGCAAGCGUUGUCCGGAAUUAUUGGGCGUAAAGAGCUCGUAGGCGGUUUGUCGCGUCGAAUGUGAAAACCCGGGGCUCAACCCCGGGCCUGCAUUCGAUACGGGCAGACUAGAGUUCGGUAGGGGAGUCUGGAAUUCCUGGUGUAGCGGUGAAAUGCGCAGAUAUCAGGAGGAACACCGGUGGCGAAGGCGGGACUCUGGGCCGAUACUGACGCUGAGGCGCGAAAGCGUGGGGAGCAAACAGG
rnacentral:rRNA from 1 species